UGGCUCAUGAGGGAAAGGUAAGUCAAUAUUACGUUUUUUCUCGCUGACAAAGGCAAAUGAAGCCAUGUUUUUGCUUACAAACAAGUAACAUCUUAACGCCUUGAUCCGGAUCCGGAGCAGCGGAGCGCAGCGCGGAGCGGAGCGGAGAGGAGAGGAGAGGCCGCCCGGAGGACCCCCAGCCCUCCCCGCCUUAUUAUCAGAUGUGGACAUUUGUGACGGGAUAGAUGGUCGUUUUUUAAAAACCUUUUACUCGGGAUAUCUUUUGUAGCAAAGUACUAAACAGCGAACUACAACUCUAAAAAACAGAGCGAGGACGAACCAACCAGAGGAGAUAUUGUUGGAAACAGAAAAUGAGUUUCGGGGCGAGCUGGUGAACCAGCGGUGGACACGAGGCGAGAGGACCAGCAGCCGCUGUCAGGCCUCCCAGAGACUGCAGAGCCGUCGACCAAUCAUGAUGAGUGUAGAAGGAGACGACAAGAGAACCCGCACACGGUCCAAAGGAAUCA